AGAAGAGCCCUAAAAGGCUCCGGGGCUUCUCCCGUUUUUAAGCAACGGGAGAAGCAA
rnacentral:tRNA from 1 species